rnacentral:rRNA from 1 species
GACAGAGGUGCCAAGCGUUAGGCGGAAUCACUGGGCUUAAAGCGUGUGUAGGCGGAUGUCUAAGUACCUUGUGAAAUCCCACGGCUCAACCGUGGAACUGCUUGGUAUACUGGACGUCUUGAGCCAUCUAGGGGCUACCGGAACAAAUGGUGGAGCGGUGAAAUGCGUAGAGAUCCGGAAGAACACCGGUGGCGAAGGCGGUUAGCUGGGCAGUUGCUGACACUGAGGCGCGACAGCGUGGGGAGCAAACAGG